UCUGGGUCCCACUCUCUGCUGUUGGGAGGCCUCGGGUCUCUCCCUACCAUUAUUUUCCGGGCUGGGCUGAGCUGGGCGAUGAAUGGUUUCAGCACCGAGGAGGACAGCCGGGAUGGGCCCCCCGCUGCCCCCUUUUACGGCCAGAGCUGUUGCCUGAUCGAGGACGGGGACCGCUGCAUGCGCCCAGCCGGCAAUGCCUCCUUCAGCAAGAGGAUCCAGAAGAGCAUCUCCCAGAAGAAGCUCAAGCUGGAUAUUGACAAAAGUCGUCAAGGGAGAAAAUCACUUUAAAGAGAGAGAUUCAACUUGCAAUCUGCAAAUUUGUUUUUAAAAACAAAUACAUUUCACCCACCCAGAGUACUCCCAGAAACUUUCUAAUGUAAGGCACCUGUACAUUUGUGAUUUCCACAAGAAUUUCAUUCAGAGUGUCCGAAACAAAAGGAAAAGGAAAACUAGUGAUGAUGGAGGAGACUCUCCUGAGCACGAGAUGGAUGUUCCAGAAGUUGACCUGUUCCAGCUGCAAGUGAACACGCUGCGACGGUACAAAAGACAUUACAAGUUACAGACCAGGCCUGGCCUCAAUAAGGCUCAGCUAGCAGAAAUUUCCUGUGAAGUUUGAGCAGCUUUGACCCUACGCUGGAUCCUCGUCCAGCUCCCAUGCUUGAAUCACUUCUGCCUGAGGCUCUUAGACAUCUGCUUCUAACCCACCACCAUUAGCCGCCACUUCAGAAAUAUCCCUGUGAAUGAGAAGGAAACACUUGCUUACUUCAUCUACAUGGUAAAGAGCAACAAGAGCAGGCUGGACCAGAAAUCAGAAAGCAGCAAGCAUCUAGAAUGAAGAUGAAUUGGACUUCGGAUGAGAAUAAGCAUGGUAUUGAAGGAACAGGUGGUGCGGUGCAUUUUAAGCUUGUAAAGACUCUUGAACUAUAUUGUAAAUUUGUUUUAAUGCUGUGUGUGUGUAAAUGACAUAAUCAAGACUCUCUUGAUCAGGAGUAUCUGAAAACAUGCAUCCAACAUGCCUGAGAAGACUUAACUUCCCAAUCAAAGCCAACAUUGGAAUGAAGAAAUAAAGGUCAUAGGAAGAAUUAUAGAUAUCAGUAGGACUCUGACUCUGGAGUUCUUUGAUGUAGUGUGUAAAGUGCUUCUGGAAGCCUGCUUCUGAAUGUGAUUUAGGUGAUGAGUAAAAAGAAGUCAGUGGUUUCAGUCUGCAUCAUAAAUCCAUCAUGCAACAUGCUUUGGUUCUGGACUGAAACAGCAAUGGAGCUAUAAUUCAGAAUCAAGGUGCACAGGUCAGAAGUCUGCUUGAGGGUUACUCACAACCUGAGUACAUUCCACCUUGCUCUAUGUGACAAGUCCCAAAUUUCUGUGAAUGCUACAGUUCGCCAAAUCCGCUUCAGUGACUGCUAUUUGAUUGGUUCGAAGAUGGAUUUCUCACAUUGCAUCAGAUGGAAAUCAGACCAGUACGGCCAACCUUUUGAACUGUUUUACCUUAUUUAAAACUCACUAUUUAAUUGCAUUGUUUUUAGCAUUUGAGAAUGUCUGUCUGCAUUUUCUGGAUUUAGGGCAUUUAAGGAAAUAUUUGGCAUCUAGGCAAAUAUUGUGAAUUAAUUCUCUGAUUUGACCAUGUUGUUAGAAAUGCCUCCAAUUAAUUCACUUAAGUCAUUGUUCUGUCUCUUGAAUUCUAGGCUCAAGGGGAUAGGUGAAGCCAUGGCUUAUGGCACCGGCCGCUAGACUGGGUCAAAUUAGGUGUAGGUCACACAAGUGACUUUUUUCUCAAUCUGGUCUUCAGCAGGUCUACCUCACAAAACAGAUACGCAGAUUGAUCUGACUUCCAGUCUGUUUCAGAUAAAUCAUUACAGAAGGAGCAGAUGUAUCGCCAGUGUACAAACAGGGGCAUACACGAUAUUUGAACCGCAUCUGUCUGCAGCAUUUUCAGCAAUGCAUGGAGCUAAGCCACUUAACCUUUCAUAAGCAUUACAUGUACAUUUCCUAGGAAUAAGGUGGAUAAUAGAAUGGCACAGACUGGCCUUUUUGUAACUUGAUAUUUAAACCUAGCAUUGUCAUUUUGAAGCCAAGGUAUCCUUACAGAUCUUCAUAGCCUAAACGAAAUUGGCAAAGGGAUGCUAAAAUUUUUCAGUGACCUCAAAUUCAAUUCAACCUAGUCACUCUGCUCCCCUGCUGUUUUAACUUUUUUUUUUUGUCUUUUCUGUUCUAAGAUGCAAGGCCCCACUUGAUGAUCAUAUAUCAAAUAAGCCUUAAUCAGCAAUGUGAACAGUGGAGAACUUUGGUUAGACUCUCAGUUGUGGGUUUGAACAUGCAGAAACUGGCUGUAACUUUGAAUAGCUAAACAUGAGAGACUACUCAAUACUGUAUUUAUCCUUUAUUGUGCAAGACGGGCAGUUCAGACAAUAAUUUCUGGAAAUCUUAAGCUUUCCCAAAAUAUUUGUGAAAAGAAUAAGUUCACCACAUGGUCUUCAAGUAUUUGCUUAUGUUCCAAAUAGAAGUCCAAGAAACUUCGGCCUUUUUAAAAUAAGUCCAGUGUCAUGCAGAAAAUACUUCUUGUGCUAGAAAUUUUAAUCUGAUACAUCUCUGAAGAUGUGGAUUGUUUCUAGUAUCCUCAAAGUCGCCAAUUCAGUAUGAAUUUUAAGAACCUUAUUACUGUUUAGAUCUUACGUAUGUCUACACUUAAAUUGAAAACCUGUGGUUGGCCCGUGCCGGCUGAUACAGGCUCGUAGGCAACGUUCACUGUAAGCUGUGCGCUUGUGCAGCCACUCAGGAGAGAGUCAGAUGCCACCCAGCUGAUUAGCAAAGCGCCUAAUGCUAAGUUUUGUGUUUCUACUGGUGGUGCGCAUUUGCACAUCCUUCAGUGCACAUAAAAAUGUGUUCCCCUCAUGGAUGGAAAAGAUCAGAGAGAAUUUUGCUCAUGGGGCUGGGGCUAGAACCUAGAGGCUGUUUAAUUGCAAAGUAGCCAUUCAGGCUUCGGCUGUAGCCAAGCUUGAGCCCAAAUGUGCAAUUAAACAGACCCUUGAAUCAGCUGGCAUAGACCAGCCGCAGGUGACUAAUUGCAGUGUAGACAAAACCCCCCAGAAGGAUUUGACACAGUGAAGGAGCAUAGAGAACGAUGAGCAAAUGUCUCACAUCGAUAUUUCUUCAGUGUCUUAAGAGUUUCCAUUAUUCUGGUCCCUUCUGUAUUGGAAGGAUAACUCAAGACAGAUGCCUUGAAGGUGUAUUCUCUGGUGCAUGAUUAACUUCAGAGCUUGUAUGCAUGCAACUGGAAGAGAAUGAUUAAGGUAAAAUCUGUCUUCAAACUAUUAGUAGGUUAUGCCUCAUCCUAACUUCCUGGCCAAAAUUGUAAAAAUAGAUGGGGGUGUGUUUUAAGAGCAAUUAAUGUGUUGUCGUGUUUUAGCUGCACAGCAGCAAAUUGAUUAUUUACAAAGGAAAUAAGUUGGCAGGUUCCAGCUGUUCUGGUGUGUUUGUUGGAAUGUGUUUGUGAGGAGGUGGGAAUUUUUUUGAACUAAUCAAAAUUGGUAUAAAAUGUAUGAUUGCUGUUGGUUUCACUUAAGCAAUUAGAUUUUUUAAAAAAUCUCAUUCUCUAAGGGGGUGGUGAUGGAAAGAUGUUUACCAGCCAUUAGCAGGAGUUUAUAAGGUGGAAAGGUUGGAGGAGGGACACCAAGGAAGUGGAGGAAUCUUUGGUUUUCAGAUCCCUUGAUCCCAUUGCCUUAUAAACACUUGGAGAUGCCUUAUUUGCUUGUUCUCCACUCAGCUAGAGUAACAUGCCUGGAGCAUGAGAGCAAGUGUCUUGAAGAAGGGACUGGUCCCUCGUGUGUCUUCUUCCCAUACUAGAAACUGACAUCACGUCAAUUCAGCAGCAAUAUCCGUGUUCAGAGUGCCUGUGGGUCUCAAAGCAUUUAGACUUUAAUAACCUGGAACGCAACAAUGCAAUUGUUCUGUGUAAUGCCAUUGUGUGUAUUUGAUUAUGCUGCGUGCCAAUUAAAGAUGCCGUCCAACGUA